rnacentral:rRNA from 1 species
GACGAACGCUGGCGGCGUGCCUAAUACAUGCAAGUAGAACGCUGAAGGAGGGGCUUGCUUCUCUGGAUGAGUUGCGAACGGGUGAGUAACGCGUAGGUAACCUGCCUGGUAGCGGGGGAUAACUAUUGGAAACGAUAGCUAAUACCGCAUAAUAGCAGUUGUUGCAUGACAACUGUUUGAAAGGUGCAAUUGCACCACUACCAGAUGGACCUGCGUUGUAUUAGCUAGUUGGUGGGGUAACGGCUCACCAAGGCGACGAUACAUAGCCGACCUGAGAGGGUGAUCGGCCACACUGGGACUGAGACACGGCCCAGACUCCUACGGGAGGCAGCAGUAGGGAAUCUUCGGCAAUGGACGGAAGUCUGACCGAGCAACGCCGCGUGAGUGGAGAAGGUUUUCGGAUCGUAAAGCUCUGUUGUAAGAGAAGAACGAGUGUGAGAGUGGAAAGUUCACACUGUGACGGUAUCUUACCAGAAAGGGACGGCUAACUACGUG